GACACCAAAAUCAUAUCUCAAAGGUUGAUUUAAAAUGAGGUAUGCCACUUUUAAGUAUCAGUCAUUUUAGAAUCAAUUUUUGGAAGCCAUAUUGGAUUUUUGGUCAUACCAGGCCACUGACUAUCCUUAUUAUUUGCCCGAAUGUAUUAUUGAUCCUUGAAACCAGUGGUUUAGACACAAAAAUCGCAUCUCCCAGGCCGAUAUGAAAUGAGCUAUGUCCGCUUUAAGUAUCAGUAGCCUCUUUUUAAGAUCAAUUAUUUGAAGCCAUCUUCAAUUUUUGGACAUACCAGACCACUGACUGUCCUUGUAACUUAGCCUAAUAUAUUAUUUGACCCUUGAAACCAGUGGUUUAGACAUCAGAAUCACAUCUCCCAGUCCAAAAUGAAAUGAGCUAUGUCCGCUUUAAGUAUUAACAGCCUUUUCAGAGUCACUUUUUUAAAUCCAUCACAGAUUUUUGCACAUACCAGACCACUGACCUACCUUGUAACUUGUCCCAAUGUAUAAGUUGACCCAUUUGGUAUAGACACAAAAGUCAUAUUUCUGGAUAUUGAGCAAACUAUGUCGGUUUUUCUUUUAAGUAGCAACAGCAAUUUUAGACUCCAUUUUUGGAAGCCAUCUUGGAUUUUUUAAUAUACUGGACCACUGACUGUCCUUGUAACUUGCCCCAAUGUCUUAAUUGACCAUUGAAAUCAUGGUGUAGACACCUAAAUCAUUAUGUCCCAGGUGGAUAUGAAAUGAACUAUGUCCAUUUUAAUUAUCAAAAACCAUUUUAAACUCCAUUUUUGGAAGCCAUCUUGGAUUUUGGGACACCAUCUUGGAUUUGUGGACACACAAGACCACUGGCUCUCCUUGUAAAUUGUACCAAUUUACAACUUCAUCCUUAAAACCAUUGAAAAAAAACCAAAUUAUAGCCACUUAGAUGAAUUGUGGAUUUUCAGCAUACGGCAGCCAUUUUGGGCACCAUCUUGGAUUUGCCAGGUACACUAGAGGGCUUAUAAUUCAUUCUAGCCUAAAUCAAUUUUUUUUAUUCCCUAGACCAUGGAAUAUGAACCGAAAGAGGAUUCUAGGGUGGAUAAUGUGUCAGUUGUAUCUAUUUUUAGUGGUUGGCGGCCAUCUUGGAUGCCAUCUUGAAAAUAACCACUUUCCUGAGGGCCGUCUGCACCAUCCCUAGUUUUCAAAUUAGCGCGCUAUUUCUGAUCCAGCAAAUUAUCCCGAUCUGAAAAAUCUCGAGAUUGUUUGCAGUGGAGACGCAAUUAUCGCGCUAGUUCGUAGGAUUAAUCUCGAGAUUGCAAUCCCAAGUCAACUUGGGUUUAUUUGCAAAAUAGCGCGCUAUUUCACGAAUUAUCCCGCUAAUUCGUAGGUGCAGACGCACUCGAGAUUGGACUCGGGGUAAUUUAUUCAUGACGUCAGUCCAUAAUGCAAUUCGCGUUCCACUUCCGCCUUGGUCAAAACAUAAACACAUCGCGAUCGUACCGAACACGUGCGAAAGUCAACUUUAUACACACGAAUAGACAUUAUCGCGAAUAGCGUUCAUCAAUUCCCCAAUCAGCAACAAUGGUGUCCUACCAGUGAAUGGAUUUGGGGAGAGACCAGACCAAUAUGGGAGGCGCUCAUAUCGACGAUGGUCAUAGUCAAUAACAGCACUGACAGCAGGGUCGUCUUAUUCCUUCGCAAAAUGUGAGCAAAUAUCAUUUCUUUCCUCCUUCUCUCUCUCUCUGUCGUUGCCUCCUCCGCCAUCAUAUUAUUUAACGAAGAAUACAUCACUUCCUCACUCGCUGAGCGCGGCUGAGCUGAGAGGAUUGUUGCAUAACACCGGUCGAAUUUGGCGAAAGUGCUAGUGAAAGGAGUACAUUGAUUGCAUAUCGCGGGAAGUUAUUCAAAAGCGCGGGCCGUUGAAACUCCAAGAUCCGAAAGUGCGCAUGCUCGGAAUAUCGGGCAUGUUGCCUCGCUCGAGCAGGAAUUGCUCGUCUUGCGAUGGUGGAGACGGGGUUUCUUGAAUCUCGAGAUUAAUCGCGAAUAGGGCCGAUCGGGCUAAAAUCUCGAGAUUGAGCAAACUCGGGAUGGUGCAGCACCGCCUCUGGAUGCAGAUUUUGGUAGAUAUUUAGUAUGUUAUUCCUGAGGUCAAAUAGUACAAAAAACCGCUGAAAAAUCAUUUGUUGCAAUUUGUUCCAGCUAAGGGUAUUUUUGGUCGUAUAUUUACCCGUCUAUAUGGCUGGGAGUGGAUGAAAUCAAAGUUUGAUCGAAUUUGAUAGUAUUCUUACACACUUCUGACAAAAUAAGUGACAAUAUCAAAUGAAAAUUAUAAUGUCAGAAUUAUAUUCAAGAAAUUCACGUUAGAUCCUCAGUUUCUACGCAGACAUUGCCCAACCCAGUAACCCAUGGUAUCCCUAUCCUGGCUCCUUUCCUUUAUUUUUGUUUGUAUUUACUACCAAUUUUUAAGACGUAAAUGUGAGCAAUCCAAUACGCAAUGCGAGGUAAACAUUUCGCGCCACUGCCAAAAGAGAGAGAGAGAAAGAGAGCUAGUACUGCUCGCUAUGUCCGUCUCUCUAACCCUAUAGCAUAGACUUCACUCUACCCGAAUCGCUGGGGAGAAGAGCUAAAUGAGUGAAAGAAAUUUUGGACGAAGUAAUUGACAAGAUUAUUUUAGGAUCUGAAAAGCAAACUUUUUUUUUAUAUAAUAUUCAGUUAGUGUAGGCUUGUUUUACUGUUGUCGGGGAUGUUCACGGUUGGCGGCUUUGCCAUAAAAUUGUUCAGGGUAGUCGGCGCCCGCCCACCAUGAAGCAUGGUAGCGAGAACGUUGGCACUGAAAAUUUCAUCAAUAUCAGAUGUAAGACAAGGAAGACUUGGCAUUUGAAAAUUUGACUCAUUAUCAGAGUUACAUGAGUAAUUGAUUUAUCUGAAGUAUUAAAAUAUUCUGGAUAGUCCCAUACAAUUGCUCUGUUUUUUUUUUAUUAACUUCACAGAUAUCUGGGUAUGAGAUAGACCUUGUAGAGUUUUCUCUAAUUGUAGCACAACAGGGUGGACUCAAAACCAUCACAAAUAAUAAAAGAUGGAAUAAAGUAGCAGAUCUUCUUCAUAUCCCCAAACCACUACAAAGCAGAGUGAAAUUAGAUAGUAUCUACUGCAAGUUUCUUCUCAGCUUUGAUAAUCUUUCAAAAG